rnacentral:rRNA from 1 species
GGGUCAGUAGGUUGGUCGUGCCACCGGUACGUACUGGUCUCACUGAUACCUCCUUCCUGAAGAACCGUAAUGCCAUUAAUUUGGUGUUGCGGGGAAACAGGACUGUUACUUUGAAAAAAUUAGAGUGUUUAAAGCAAGCUAACGCCUGAAUACAUUAGCAUGGAAUAAUGAAAUAGGACGAUCGAUCCUAUUUUGUUGGUUUCUAGGAUUGACGUA